rnacentral:lncRNA from 10 species
UUGCUUUAACACUUUACUGCUUCCUGAUUUCAUUUGCAGCAUGAAUCACCUGGUUAUACAGACUGGCAGAAGGCAACAUUCAGAUUUACAGAUACACCAGAAAGCCUCUGAAAUCCAACGAUGCCAUACGGAAGUCUGAUCUUUCUGUUGCAAAAAAAAUUAAAGCUGGGCACAUGUCCAUUUAUCCAUUUACCCAAGGCAUUUAAUGUAGGAGCAUAAGAAUGCACUGAUUAACACGUGAGCUUUAAUAUGCUUGUGGAGGCCAAGAUUAAAUUGUACCUCUUCUCCCUCUUCAGAGAAAAUAAAAUUAACCAAAUUAAAAGCAGAGCUGCCUGAUACUAGCCAGAAGACUACAUAAUCACAGUGAAUUCUUAUUUCAAUAAAUCCCAGGAAAUGCAAAACACAAUAAAUGAUUGCCACUGGAGCUUUGCCCAAAUGGUCACCGUAGACCUCAUGCUGCAGAAUCAUAUCAGGUUUUCAAGGUUCUUUCCUAGAACUCCAAAGUUGGAAAAAUGACCCAGAUAAAUGAUUGGGAUAAAGACCCAUCAUGAUUUAAAACAAAGGGUCUAUUUCCAAACUUGAAUUCGGUAAUAAAGAGUAUGGGCUGCAAUUUUCUGUGAUUAUCUCAAAAAAUUAAAAUAACCUGUCUUCUUUCUUAUCAGAUGACACCUACCAGGUAGGAGGUAAAUUUUGGUAGCAGAUGCCUACCGUGCAGACUGGUUCAGUAAUGGUACUCAGCAUCACAAGAUUUGGGGAUUCAGAUAAGGCUGCUUUAGAGCUAGAAAUCAGAGAACCAUGCAUUUGCCAAGUAUACCUACUCCCUCACUCACCCCAUGAUCAAAGGCUAUUAAAAAUUAUCUGGGCCGGGUGCGGUGGCUCAUGCCUGUAAUCCUAGCACUUUAGGAGGCCGAGGCGGGAUGAUUACAAGGUCAGGAGUUUAAGACCAGCCUGGCCAACAUGGUAAAACCCCACCUCUACUAAAAAUACAAAAAUUAGCUGAGUGCGGUGGUGGUGUGUGCCUGUAAUCCCAGCUACUCAGGAGGCUGAAGCAGGAGAAUUGCUUGAACCCGGGAGACAGAGGUUGCAGUGAGCUGAGGUCGUGCCAUUGUGUUCCAACCUGGGCGACAGAGCAAGACUCUGUCUCGGGGAAAAAAAAUAAUAAUCUGUAGUCCCACAUCCCUCUAUACUCCACAAUCUAUGGAGAAAUAAGUAUCUUGCAUGCUUCCUCCUUUUGGCAAGCAGAACAGUCAGUGCAGGCUGAACACUGCUUUUUUGAGGGAGAACUGCUACUCUGAGCAGGUGUGUUGAAACUGUUUUUCCCAGGCAAAGCUAUCCUUCCUAUACUAAAAAGUGAUGGAGAUUUUUUAAAAUGUGUUUAUAAAAUAUCACAUGAAAACACCUUCACAACAAAAAACAUUCAUUUCUAUAUUCCUUACCUAUAACAUUUGGCACAGCGUUCUGCCAUGUAUUGUGCUCUCACUAAAGACAUACAUAGAACAGAGAGAUCCAAAAUCAGGUUUUAAAAGUGAUAGGAACUGAUAUUUCCAAGGAAUCCCUGCAUCAGUCCUGGCCUUUCUUUGCGCUAUAAUUAAGGUUUUGUUUUUUUAAAAAAAAAAAAAAA